GUGUUACCUCUAUUGAAGUAACUCAUAGGUUUUUUUCAGGCCAUAAGGGCCCAUGUAUUCUGACCUUUUUUUCUAACACUGGACAUAGAAUCUUACCCUGCAGCUUCUUGAGCUAACGGAGUCUUGCUCCCAAUUACUGCACGAGCACUGUUGGCAUUUUAUUGUAUUUCUCAUGGCAGUCAUUCUGCAAAACAUUAAAAAAUGUUUUAGAAGACGAUACGAUAAUUCAUGCUAUUAAUUUUUAACUUCACUCCAUAGUACAACAGAUUCACUUUCCAGCUGUGGCACAGGAGGCCCAAGCAUGUUUCUCCACCUAAUUCAUUGUUUCCAGGAAGCUUUCUACAUCAUCCUUACCUGACAGCAAGGGAAUGUUAUCAAAGGUCUCGCUUUAGCUAUAUUGCCCUUCCUGCUAGGCAUAUUGUUUCCUUUACAUGGAAUUUAUGUGUCCAACACUACAAUUCUGGCACUUGCCAAAGUCACCCAGGGUAACUGCUCCUGUUUAUUUUUAUUGCCAAGCCGAAAUGCUGCUUGAAUCCAGGACACCCUCCUUUCCCUUUAAUCUUGAUGCAUUCUGAAAGGAAGUGCAAAACUGAACUGUUCACUGAAGUCUUCAGGAAGAAGUUUUGCUCUUACAACAACAUGUGUGCAAACAAAAUCUUUCAUCUUGAUUGAUAAGUACACAAUGCUUUAUUCACCAGAGACCAGGAUUAAAUGAAAUAUGAACUGUGACUUCCAGAAACUGCUGCUGAAGAUGAGACCGGACUGAAAAGUCUCAGUAAGGAUGGGAACAUUGUUGUUGAAUCAGAUAAACUAAAGAGAAGAAACUACUCGUUUUCGAGAGCCCUGGAUGCUCUAAAUGCUGAGGAUUUCCCAACCAGAGGCUUUUGGAUGUUUCCAGCCAAGAAGGAUUUGGCAAAAGAUCCAGAUACGUUGUGAAUGCUUUUCAACUUCUGGAGGUUCAGGUUAUAUAAGCACAACAUGUUUAUACAGAAGAAGGGGUAGUUAUCUCAGAGGAAGAGAGGAGCACAAAUCUUUCUUAUUGCUGGCAUCUGACAAGAAAGCAUUCCUAUUGAUCUGUUUUGUGCUCCAGAACAGGCAGCAUUUUACUCCACUGAAUGUGUCCCAGUGAAUUUGGGAACACAUGUCCCACUGAGUUUAGCGGGAGGCAAGCUGAAAUAAAACACAGCUCAUCAUCA
rnacentral:lncRNA from 1 species